GACGAACGCUGGCGGCGUGCUUAACACAUGCAAGUCGAGCGGUAAGGCCCUUUCGGGGGUACACGAGCGGCGAACGGGUGAGUAACACGUGGGUGACCUGCCCUCAGCUCUGGGAUAAGCCUGGGAAACUGGGUCUAAUACUGGAUAUGACUCCACGGUGCAUGUCGUGGGGUGGAAAGCCUUGUGCGGCUGAGGAUGGGCCCGCGGCCUAUCAGCUUGUUGGUGGGGGAUGGCCUACCAAGGCGACGACGGGUAGCCGGCCUGAGAGGGCGACCGGCCACACUGGGACUGAGACACGGCCCAGACUCCUACGGGAGGCAGCAGUGGGGAAUCUUGCGCAAUGGGCGAAAGCCUGACGCAGCGACGCCGCGUGAGGAUGACGGCCU
rnacentral:rRNA from 1 species